rnacentral:rRNA from 1 species
AAUGGCCGCGGUAUUUUGACCGUGCAAAGGUAGCAUAAUCAUUAGUUCAUUAAUUGUGGACUUGUAUGAAUGGUUAGACGUAAUAUUAACUGUCUCAUAUUUAUAUUUAUAAUUUAAAUUUUGAGUUAAAAUGCUUAAAUUUUUUUAUAGGACGAGAAGACCCUAUAGAUCUUUAUUAUUAAUUAUGUUUAAUUUUUUUGUUUGUAUUUUUUAAAUAUAUUUAAUUUUUUUGUUGGGGUGACAUGAGGAUAUAAUUAACUCUUUAUUAUUAUAAUCAAUUAUUUUUGUUUUAUUGACCUUUUAUUAUUGUUAUAAGAUAUAGAUACCUUAGGGAUAACAGCGUAAUUUUUCUUGAGAGUUCCUAUCGACAGAAAAGAUUGCGACCUCGAUGUUGGAUUAAGAUUAUUAUUUGGUGUAGAUGCUUUAUAAAUAAGUCUGUUCGACUUUUAAAAUCUUACAUGAUCUGAGUUCA